rnacentral:rRNA from 1 species
UCGGCGUGCCCAGUCGUGGGGGAUAACUACUCGAAAGAGUAGCUAAUACCGCAUACGAUCUGGAUGAAAGCGGGGGACCUUCGGGCCCUCGCGCGAUUGGAGCGGCCGAUGGCAGAUUAGAGUUGGUGGGAUAAAAGCUUACCAAGCCGACGAUCUGUAGCUGGUCUGAGAGGACGACGCCCACACUGGGACUGAGACACGGCCCAGACUCCUACGGGAGGCAGCAGUGGGGAAUUGGACAAUGGGCGAAAGCCUGAUCCAGCAAUGCCGCGUGCAGGAUGAAGGCCUUCGGGUUAAACUGCUUUUGUACGGAACGAAAAAGCUUCUCCUAAUACGAGAGGCCCAUGACGGUCGUAAGAAUAAGCACCGGCUAACUACGUGCCAGCAGCCGCGGUAAUACGUAGGGUGCGCGUUAAUCGGAAUUACUGGGCGUAAAGCGUGCGCAGGCGGUUAUGUAAGACAGAUGUGAUCCCCGGGCUCAACCUGGGAACUGCAUUUGUGACUGCAUGGCUAGAGUACGGUAGAGGGAUGGAAUUCCGCGUGUAGCAGUGAAAUGCGUAGAUGUGCGGAGGAACACCGAUGGCAGGCAAUCCCCUGGACCUGUACUGACGCUCAUGCACGAAAGCGUGGGGAGCAAACAGGUAGAUACCCUGGUAGUCCACGCCCUAAACGAUGUCAACUGGUUGUUGGGAAUUAGUUU